CCUAAUCUGAUACUGAUUGUUAUUCCCCUUUGAUGGUGACAUGGCCAAGAAAAUGCAUACUUGCAUCUUAUUACGGUCUAUCGUUUCUGUUUCUAAGAAAUAAAUGCACGAACUUAUAUCGCAAUUCUCAGAGCAAAAGCUGACAAGUUACCAAACACCCAACCACACUUGCAUUGCUUUUAUAUAGAAAAUCUCAAGCAAAUCCUGCGCUUGGGCGCAGAGCCUGAUGCAUUUUCUAAUGCCAAUUCGUGUGGAAAUAGGUAGGGCUGUGCAAUC
rnacentral:lncRNA from 1 species